GACGAACGCUGGCGGCGUGCCUAAUACAUGCAAGUAGAACGCUGAAGAGAGGAGCUUGCUCUUCUUGGAUGAGUUGCGAACGGGUGAGUAACGCGUAGGUAACCUGCCUUGUAGCGGGGGAUAACUAUGGGAAACGAUAGCUAAUACCGCAUAACACUAGGUGACACAUGUCAUUUAUUUGAAAGGGGCAAUUGCUCCACUACAAGAUGGACCUGCGUUGUAUUAGCUAGUAGGUGAGGUAACGGCUCACCUAGGCGACGAUACAUAGCCGGCCUGAGAGGGUGGUUGGCCACCCUGGGACUGAGACACGGCCCAGACUCCUACGGGAGGCAGCAGUAGGGAAUCUUCGGCAAUGGGGGCAACCCUGACCGAGCAACGCCGCGUGAGGGAAGAAGGUUUUCGGAUCGUAAAGCUCUGUUGUAAGUCAAGAACGAGUGUGAGAGUGGAAAGUUCACACUGUGACGGUAGCUUACCAGAAAGGGACGGCUAACUACGUG
rnacentral:rRNA from 1 species